UUUGUCAUUUUUAAAGGAAUAUAUCUAGAUCUUAGGCAAAAAUAGUUUUCCAGUGACCUGGGAAACAUUCUUGUGUUUUAUCACAUGCAGCACUACUGAAAAAUGAAAAAGGUUCUUCGUUCCCUGUAUCUUUGAGAAAGAAGUUUUCCAUUUUAUUAAUCAUGCUUCAAAGGUUACCCAGGAACACCAGAAAGAUUUCCAGCCAUGUUGUGCCACCCCGUGUAAGAAAUGGGAAAUUGCACAGCUCUGCUGACCAUCGUGACCUGGGCGGUGUCCUGCAGAUGAUAACUUGUGCAAUUUGAAGGCAGUUUUUAGUUUAUCAGCAACCAAAUUAUAUUUAGAAAAGCUCAACAAUAUUUUGUAUGAAACAUUUUUUUCUUAAAACUUUCAACCUUUUGACAUAAUAAGUAAUAGAGGCCCUUUUUAUAUUACUGGUGUGAUGAAGGAUAAGGAAGAUUGCCACGCACACCCUGUUUUCAGAGCUCAGCUGAACCCAGCUCCGUCUGGAAUAAUUCCAGCUGUUCACAAACAAUGUGCACCAGCAGACUGAGAUCUCUAGCCACUCAGUCCUAAAUACCUGAGCCUUAUGAACUGUGUACAAAAUUCCUGUGAUCAGCUCUGCACUAUUAAAAAC
rnacentral:lncRNA from 1 species